AUUGAACGCUAGCGGGAUGCUUUACACAUGCAAGUCGAACGGAGUGGCGGACGGGUGAGUAAUAUAUCGGAAAGUGCCCCGUAGCGGGGGCUAACUACUCGAACGAGUGGAUAAUACCGACUACUAUUGGAGCGGCCGAUAUCGGAUUAGCUAGUGGGGGGGGAAAAGGAUCACCAAGGCAACGAUCCGUAGCUGGUUUGAGAGGACGACCAGCCACAGUGGGAAUGAGACACGUCCCAGACGCCGGCGGGCUGCAGCAGUGGGUAAUUUGAGACAAUGGGGUAAACCCUGAGCCAGCCAUCCCGCGUGUAUGAUGAAGGCCUUCGAGCUGUAUAGUACUUUUGGCGAAGAAGCGGUAUCUGCAGAAUAAGCACCGGCUAACUCCGUGCCAGCAGCCGCGGUAAUUC
rnacentral:rRNA from 1 species